UUUUUAAGAAAUGAAUUUAAUUCGUGCGUCUAAUUUAAUUUCUGUUGUUGUUUAUUAAUUUUUAUUUGAUGUUAAGAUUAAGGGGGAUUAGCUCCUUGUUUUAUUUUUAUAAUUAUUAUUUUUAAUUUAGUUUUGUGGAUUUUAUGGUGAUUUUCAAUUUGAUUAUGUUAAAAUUUUAUUUUUUCUUUUGUUUCUUUUUUAUUAAUUUAAUUUGUUUAUUGGAAUGUUUACUUUAUUUUUGUUUUGUAUUGUAAUUAUUAUGUAAUUAGUAAAUUGUGUUUGAUUGUAUCAUUGUUUGUUUUGAGUGUUAAUUUCUUUUUAGGAAUUAGGCAAAAGUUUCAUGUCCGCCUGUUUAACAAAAACAUCUUUUCUUGUUAGUUUUUGAAGUAUGGCCUGCCCACUGACUUAGGAGUUGAAGGGCCGCGGUAUUUUGACCGUGCAAAGGUAGCAUAAUCAUUAGUUCUUUAAUUGUGAUYUGGUAUGAAUGGCUUGACGAGACAUGGGCUGUCUUGAUGGAAUUGUUUGUUGAAUUUGGUUUUUGAGUUAAAAUUCUUAGAUGUUUUUAUGGGACGAGAAGACCCUAUAGAGUUUAACAUUUUGCUUAUUGGUGAGGAUUAGGUUUGUUGUAAUGUUUUAGUAGGCUAAUUGUUUUGUUGGGGUGAUGGGAGGAAUUUUUGAAACUCUUCUUUAUUUAAUAUAUUUAUCUAUAUUAUUUGAUCC
rnacentral:rRNA from 1 species